GAUGAACGCUGGCGGCGUGCCUAACACAUGCAAGUCGAACGGAGUCCAGCCUUUAAGACCUUCGGGUCAAAGAGGGGAAGACUGAGUGGCGGACGGGUGAGUAACACGUGGGCAACCUGGCUCAUAGAGGGGGAUAACAGAGAGAAAUUUCUGCUAAUACCGCAUAAGCACACACUGCCGCAUGGCAGAGGGUGAAAAGAGAAUCGCUAUGAGAUGGACCCGCGUCUGAUUAGCCAGUUGGCAGGGUAAGAGCCUACCAAAGCGACGAUCAGUAGCCGAUCUGAGAGGAUGAACGGCCACAUUGGGACUGAGACACGGCCCAAACUCCUACGGGAGGCAGCAGUGGGGGAUAUUGCACAAUGGGGGGAACCCUGAUGCAGCGACGCCGCGUGGGUGAAGAAGUAUUUCGGUAUGUAAAGCUCUAUCAGCAGGGAAGAUAAUGACAGUACCUGAAUAAGAAGCCCCGGCUAACUACGUG
rnacentral:rRNA from 1 species